AACGUACGCUGGCGGCACGCCUAACACAUGCAAGUCGAACGAAGUAGCAAUACUUAGUGGCAGACGGGUGAGUAACAUGUGGGUAUCUACCCUUUGGCCUGGAAUAACACGAGGAAACUUGUGCUAAUACCGGAUAAGUCUUUACGGAGAAAGCUUUAUGCACCAUUGGAUGAGCCCGCACUUGAUUAGUUUGUUGGUAGGGUAAUGGCCUACCAAGACUAUGAUCAAUAGCUGAUUUGAGAGGAUGAUCAGCCACAUUGGGACUGAGACACGGCCCAAACUCCUACGGGAGGCAGCAGUGGGGAAUCUUGCACAAUGGAGGAAACUCUGAUGCAGCGAUGCCGCGUGAGUGAAGAAGGCCUUUGGGUUGUAAAGCUCUUUCGUCGGGGAAGAAAAUGACUGUACCCGAAUAAGAAGGUCCGGCUAACUUCGUGCCAGCAGCCGCGGUAAUACGAAGGGACCUAGCGUAGUUCGGAAUUACUGGGCUUAAAGAGUUCGUAGGUGGUUGAAAAAGUUGGUGGUGAAAUCCCAGAGCUUAACUCUGGAACUGCCAUCAAAACUUUUCAGCUAGAGUAUGAUAGAGGAAAGCAGAAUUUCUAGUGUAGAGGUGAAAUUCGUAGAUAUUAGAAAGAAUACCAAUUGCGAAGGCAGCUUUCUGGAUCAUUACUGA
rnacentral:rRNA from 3 species